GACGAACGCUGGCGGCGUGCCUAACACAUGCAAGUCGAGCGAUGAAGCCCUUCGGGGUGGAUUAGCGGCGGACGGGUGAGUAACACGUGGGUAACCUGCCUCAAAGAGGGGGAUAGCCUCCCGAAAGGGAGAUUAAUACCGCAUAACAUUAGUUUUUCGCAUGAAGAACUAAUUAAAGGAGCAAUCCGCUUUGAGAUGGACCCGCGGCGCAUUAGCUAGUUGGUGAGGUAAAGGCUCACCAAGGCGACGAUGCAUAGCCGACCUGAGAGAGUGAUCGGCCACAUUGGAACGGGUACACGAUCCCGACACCUACGGGAUGCAGCAGUGGGGAAUAUUGCACAUUGGGCGAAGGCCUGAUGCAGGAACGCCGUGUAAGUGAUGAAGGCCGUCGGGUUGUAAAGCUCUGUCUUUUGGGGCGAUAAUGACGGUACCAAAGGAGGAAGCCACGGCUAACUACGUGCCAGCAGCCGCAGUAA
rnacentral:rRNA from 1 species